AUCCUUUUGUAGUUCAUAAGCCUGAUGCAUGGGUGUUCUUGCGCAUGUGUGAGAUGUGCCUCCCUCAAACCUUGUUAUGGUGCCAGCCCAUUACCGGUCUAUCA
ensembl:snoRNA